AAGUACCCCAAAAUUUUCCUACUCUCCAAUCCCUCUUCUCAUCCUCACGCCAUUUAGAGAAGAUGAAGUUAUUAUCACGGUUGGGUCUCCAUCCUCACGCCUCUUUUCAUAGUUGCCUCUCUCCACUAAAAAUUUUCAUCUUCCUCUGAUUUGAGCCUUUUGUAACCCUAAUUUGGCAGAUUUUGGGUCCUGUCGUCUUUAAGGCCAAAGUUCAAGAGCUAACUGAACAUAUUUUGAAAAGUCACAUUCCUCGAUCAGUGACUGUUCAUUUUAGAGAACUUACCAGGAAGGAAUCCUCAUUUAACCGAAUAACAGAUUGGGGGUGAGCUGAAAGUAUAUAUUGGAGUCAAGAAGGUUAUUUGCUUGUUCCAUGAAUUUUUGUUAUUUCUUUGGUCUUUCUAGUUUUAUUUUCUUCAUUUUAGGUAUGGUGGACCACACUAAGUAGUUCAAAUAUGAAAUUACUUGUAUAUAAUUUAUUUGUAUUUGUAUUGAUUUCGGAGUUAACUGAGUUUGUAAAUAAUACUUUGGCCUUAAUCUAUUUGGUCGACAAUAAUAUGAAUUUUUUUUUAUAUA